rnacentral:rRNA from 1 species
UACGUAGGGUGCGAGCGUUGUCCGGAAUUAUUGGGCGUAAAGGGCUCGUAGGCGGUUUGUCGCGUCGGGAGUGAAAUCCACUGGCUUAACUGGUGGCUUGCUUUCGAUACGGGCAGACUAGAGUGCGGUAGGGGAGAUUGGAAUUCCUGGUGUAGCGGUGGAAUGCGCAGAUAUCGGGAGGAACACCAGUAGCGAAGGCGGCACUCUGGGCCGUGACUGACGCUGAGGAGCGAAAGCGUGGGUAGCAAACAGG